UCCCAGCAAGGUGAAGGGCAUACAUAUUCUUACUAGUUUUAUAAGAACAUUCUAUUCGUU
rnacentral:tRNA from 1 species